rnacentral:rRNA from 1 species
GGGUUGUGAGGUUAAGCGACUAAGCGUACACGGUGGAUGCCCUGGCAGUCAGAGGCGAUGAAGGACGUGCUAAUCUGCGAUAAGCGUCGGUAAGGUGAUAUGAACCGUUAUAACCGGCGAUUUCGAAUGGGGAAACCCAGUGUGAUUCGUCACACUAUCAUUAACUGAAUCCAUAGGUUAAUGAGGGCGAACCGGGGGAACUGAAACAUCUAAGUACCCCGAGGAAAAGAAAUCAACCGAGAUUCCCCCAGUAGCGGCGAGCGAACGGGGAGCAGCCCAGAGCCUGAAUCAGUGUGUGUGUUAGUGGAAGCGUCUGGAAAGGCGCGCGAUACAGGGUGACAGCCCCGUACACAAAAAUGCACAUGCUGUGAGCUCGAUGAGUAGGGCGGGACACGUGGUAUCCUGUCUGAAUAUGGGGGACCAUCCUCCAAGGCUAAAUACUCUGACUGACCGAUAGUGAACCAGUACCGUGAGGGAAAGGCGAAAAGAACCCCGGCGAGGGGAGUGAAAAAGAACCUGAAACCGUGUACGUACAAGCAGUGGGAGCACGCUUCGGCGUGUGACUGCGUACCUUUGUAUAAUGGGUCAGCGACUUAUAUUCUGUAGCAAGGUUAACCGAAUAGGGAGCCGAAGGGAAACCGAGUCUUAACUGGGCGUUAAGUUGCAGGGUAUAGACCCGAAACCCGGUGAUCUAGCCAUGGGCAGGUUGAAGGUUGGGUAACACUAACUGGAGGACCGAACCGACUAAUGUUGAAAAAUUAGCGGAUGACUUGUGGCUGGGGGUGAAAGGCCAAUCAAACCGGGAGAUAGCUGGUUCUCCCCGAAAGCUAUUUAGGUAGCGCCUCGUGAAUUCAUCUCCGGGGUAGAGCACUGUUUCGGCAAGGGGGUCAUCCCGACUUACCAACCCGAUGCAAACUGCGAAUACCGGAGAAUGUUAUCACGGGAGACACACGGCGGGUGCUAACGUCCGUCGUGAAGAGGGAAACAACCCAGACCGCCAGCUAAGGUCCCAAAGUCAUGGUUAAGUGGGAAACGAUGUGGGAAGGCCCAGACAGCCGAGGAUGUUGGCUUAGAAGCAGCCAUCAUUUAAAGAAAGCGUAAUAGCUCACUGGUCGAGUCGGCCUGCGCGGAAGAUGUAACGGGGCUAAACCAUGCACCGAAGCUGCGGCAGCGACACUAUGUGUUGUUGGGUAGGGGAGCGUUCUGUAAGCCUGUGAAGGUGUACUGUGAGGUAUGCUGGAGGUAUCAGAAGUGCGAAUGCUGACAUAAGUAACGAUAAAGCGGGUGAAAAGCCCGCUCGCCGGAAGACCAAGGGUUCCUGUCCAACGUUAAUCGGGGCAGGGUGAGUCGACCCCUAAGGCGAGGCCGAAAGGCGUAGUCGAUGGGAAACAGGUUAAUAUUCCUGUACUUGGUGUUACUGCGAAGGGGACGGAGAAGGCUAUGUUGGUAGGGCGACGGUUGUCCCGGUUUAAGCGUGUAGGCUGGUUUUCCAGGCAAAUCCGGAAAAUCAAGGCUGAGGCGUGAUGACGAGGCACUACGGUGCUGAAGCAACAAAUGCCCUGCUUCCAGGAAAAGCCUCUAAGCAUCAGGUAACAUCAAAUCGUACCCCAAACCGACACAGGUGGUCAGGUAGAGAAUACCAAGGCGCUUGAGAGAACUCGGGUGAAGGAACUAGGCAAAAUGGUGCCGUAACUUCGGGAGAAGGCACGCUGAUAUGUAGGUGAAGCGACUUGCUCGUGGAGCUGAAAUCAGUCGAAGAUACCAGCUGGCUGCAACUGUUUAUUAAAAACACAGCACUGUGCAAACACGAAAGUGGACGUAUACGGUGUGACGCCUGCCCGGUGCCGGAAGGUUAAUUGAUGGGGUUAGCGGUAACGCGAAGCUCUUGAUCGAAGCCCCGGUAAACGGCGGUAGUAACUAUAACGGUCCUAAGGUAGCGAAAUUCCUUGUCGGGUAAGUUCCGACCUGCACGAAUGGCGUAAUGAUGGCGGGGGCUGUCUCCACCCGAGACUCAGUGAAAUUGAACUCGCUGUGAAGAUGCAGUGUACCCGCGGCAAGACGGAAAGACCCCGUGAACCUUUACUAUAGCUUGACACUGAACAUUGAGCCUUGAUGUGUAGGAUAGGUGGGAGGCUUUGAAGUGUGGACGCCAGUCUGCAUGGAGCCGACCUUGAAAUACCACCCUUUAAUGUUUGAUGUUCUAACGUUGACCCGUGAUCCGGGUUGCGGACAGUGUCUGGUGGGUAGUUUGACUGGGGCGGUCUCCUCCUAAAGAGUAACGGAGGAGCACGAAGGUUGGCUAAUCCUGGUCGGACAUCAGGAGGUUAGUGCAAUGGCAUAAGCCAGCUUGACUGCGAGCGUGACGGCGCGAGCAGGUGCGAAAGCAGGUCAUAGUGAUCCGGUGGUUCUGAAUGGAAGGCCAUCGCUCAACGGAUAAAAGGUACUCCGGGGAUAACAGGCUGAUACCGCCCAAGAGUUCAUAUCGACGGCGGUGUUUGGCACCUCGAUGUCGGCUCAUCACAUCCUGGGGCUGAAGUAGGUCCCAAGGGUAUGGCUGUUCGCCAUUUAAAGUGGUACGCGAGCUGGGUUUAGAACGUCGUGAGACAGUUCGGUCCCUAUCUGCCGUGGGCGCUGGAGAACUGAGGGGGGCUGCUCCUAGUACGAGAGGACCGGAGUGGACGCAUCACUGGUGUUCGGGUUGUCAUGCCAAUGGCACUGCCCGGUAGCUAAAUGCGGAAGAGAUAAGUGCUGAAAGCAUCUAAGCACGAAACUUGCCCCGAGAUGAGUUCUCCUGACUCCUUGAGAGUCCUGAAGGAACGUUGAAGACGACGACGUUGAUAGGCCGGGUGUGUAAGCGCAGCGAUGCGUUGAGCUAACCGGUACUAAUGAACCGUGAGGCUUAACCUUACAACGCCGAAG